GUCCACGCCGUAAACGAUGUCUACUAGCCGUUGGGAUCCCUGAGGUCUUAGUGGCGCAGCUAACGCAAUAAGUAGACCGCCUGGGGGAGUACGGUCGCAAGAUUAAAACUCAAAUGAAUUGACGGGGGGCCCGCACAAGCGGUGGAGCAUGUGGUUUAAUUCGACGCAACGCGAAGAACCUUACCAGGUCUUGACAUCCAGAGAAUUCGCCAGAGAUGGCUUAGUGCCUUCGGGAGCUCUGAGACAGGUGCUGCAUGGCUGUCGU
rnacentral:rRNA from 1 species